UACGUAGGGGGCAAGCGUUGUCCGGAUUUAUUGGGCGUAAAGAGCGUGUAGGCGGCUAGGUAGGUCCGUUGUGAAAACUCGAGGCUCAACCUCGAGACGUCGAUGGAAACCAUCUAGCUAGAGUCCGGAAGAGGAGAGUGGAAUUCCUGGUGUAGCGGUGAAAUGCGCAGAUAUCAGGAAGAACACCCGUGGCGAAGGCGGCUCUCUGGUACGUGACUGACGCUGAGGAACGAAAGCUAGGGGAGCAAACAGG
rnacentral:rRNA from 1 species